CAGGUACUCCUACGGGAGGCAGCAGUCGAGAAUCUUCGGCAAUGGGCGCAAGCCUGACCGAGCGACGCCGCGUGUGGGAUGAAGGCCCUUGGGUUGUAAACCACUGUCAGAGGGGAUGAAGUGCCAGAGAGUUAUCUCUUUGGUUUGACAUAGCCUCAGAGGAAGCACGGGCUAAGUUCGUGCCAGCAGCCGCGGUAAUACAGAGGGUGCUAGCGUUGUUCGGAAUUACUGGGCGUAAAGAGUGUGUAGGCGGUGUCCCAAGUCUGUUGUGAAAUCUCCGGGCUUAACUCGGAAAGGUCAGCCGAUACUGCGGGGCUAGAGUGCAGAAGGGGCAACUGGAAUUCUCGGUGUAGCGGUGAAAUGCGUAGAUAUCGAGAGGAACACCUGCGGCGAAGGCGGGUUGCUGGGCUGACACUGACGCUGAUGCGCGAAAGCUAGGGGAGCGAACAGGAUUAGAUACCCUGGUAGUCCUAGCCCUAAACGAUGAUCGCUUGGUGUGUCGGGUACCCAAUCCCGCCGUGCCGAAGCUAACGCGUUAAGCGAUCCGCCUGGGGAGUACGGUCGCAAGACUGAAACUUAAAGGAAUUGACGGGACUCUA
rnacentral:rRNA from 1 species